UGGCAAAUAUAACUUUUUGGAAAGGCUUCUUGGAGUUGUACGUUUACUAUCAAAGUAUUAUUCAUCUUCAUUCCAAUGGGAACUCACAGCUCUAAAUUAGGCUUUUGCUGGUAGCCUUCUAACCUCAGAUCCAACGUCCCUUAUUCCUCUGAUCUUGAGAAAUGUGGAGAAAAUGCGAGGAUGAAACUGCCAGCAUUUAAAGAAUGCAGUUUAGAUGAGCUAAAGAUGGCACCUUCAAGAUUCUCAAUUGAAAACAUUGUAUCAGAACAUGGAGAUAGAGCUCGCAAUGUUGUCUACAAAGGGCAGCUUGAAGAUGACGCCUCUUGGAUUGCUGUCAAACAUUUCAAUAAGUUUGCUUGGCCGGAUUCUCGGCAAUUCCUGGUUGUUAUUACUCCUUUUAAGCAAGUCCGCAACUAUAGUCUUCACAAAUGUGAUAUUAUCUUAUUUAUGUACGUGCUUUGAUAUCAGCCAUAGUACUUAGUUAACCAUGAGUACGGUGGAUGUUAUUCAGAUUUAAGAUUUGUUGUAUGCAAUUUGUAGGUUGAUAAGUGAGGAAACUUAUUGCAGGCUGAUGUGAUUUGAGACAUUGAUUAUACGGUUGUUAUGCCAUAUGAA